UGCCCGGUGGUGUAAUUGGUAACACACCGGCCUUUGGAGCCGAGAUUCGAGGUUCGAGCCCUCGCCGGGCAGCCA
rnacentral:tRNA from 1 species